GCGACAUACCUAAACGUUGCUUCGGCGGGAACAGACGGCCCCGUAACACGGGCCGCCCCCGCCAGAGGACCCCCUAACUCUGUUUUUAUAAUGUUUUUUCUGAGUAAACAAGCAAAUAAAUUAAAACUUUCAACAACGGAUCUCUUGGCUCUGGCAUCGAUGAAGAACGCAGCGAAAUGCGAUAAGUAAUGUGAAUUGCAGAAUUCAGUGAAUCAUCGAAUCUUUGAACGCACAUUGCGCCCGCCAGUAUUCUGGCGGGCAUGCCUGUUCGAGCGUCAUUACAACCCUCAGGCCCCCGGGCCUGGCGUUGGGGAUCGGCGAGCGCCCCCUGCGGGCACACGCCGUCCCCCAAAUACAGUGGCGGUCCCGCCGCAGCUUCCAUUGCGUAGUAGCUAACACCUCGCAACUGGAGAGCGGCGCGGCCACGCCGUAAAACACCCAACUUCUGAAUGUUGACCUCGAAUCAGGUAGGAAUACCCGCUGAACUUAAGCAUAUCA
rnacentral:rRNA from 1 species